rnacentral:misc_RNA from 1 species
UCUCUCUCUCUCUCUAUUUUUCUUUCAUUGUAUGAAAAGGAAUUAUUCCUUCCAAAUUUUGCAAGACCCAUGAAUACAUAGUUUCAAACAAUGCAUAAUUGGAGACGUUUAUACCUAGAAAGAUCGACUGCUGGGGGUUUUGAUCUCUUUCUUCCUCAUAACCUUAUCCUUGUUUUUAAUAUCAUUACUUUCAUAGAGGAAGAAAGAG